UACGUAGGGUGCAAGCGUUAAUCGGAAUUACUGGGCGUAAAGCGUGCGCAGGCGGCUUUGCAAGACAGAUGUGAAAUCCCCGGGCUUAACCUGGGAACUGCAUUUGUGACUGCAUGGCUAGAGUGCGGCAGAGGGGGAUGGAAUUCCGCGUGUAGCAGUGAAAUGCGUAGAUAUGCGGAGGAACACUGAUGGCGAAGGCAAUCCCCUGGGCCUGCACUGACGCUCAUGCACGAAAGCGUGGGGAGCAAACAGG
rnacentral:rRNA from 1 species